rnacentral:rRNA from 1 species
GAUGAACGCUAGCUACAGGCUUAACACAUGCAAGUCGAGGGGCAGCAUGAUUGAAGCUUGCUUCAAUCGAUGGCGACCGGCGCACGGGUGAGUAACACGUAUCCAACCUGCCGAUAACUCGGGGAUAGCCUUUCGAAAGAAAGAUUAAUACCCGAUAGUAUAGUAUUUCCGCAUGGUUUCACUAUUAAAGAACUUCGGUUAUCGAUGGGGAUGCGUUCCAUUAGAUAGUUGGCGGGGUAACGGCCCACCAAGUCAACGAUGGAUAGGGGUUCUGAGAGGAAGGUCCCCCACAUUGGAACUGAGACACGGUCCAAACGCCUACGGGAGGCAGCAGUGAGGAAUAUUGGUCAAUGGACGAGAGUCUGAACCAGCCAAGUAGCGUGAAGGAGGACUGCCCUAUGGGUUGUAAACUUCUUUUAUACGGGAAUAAAGUGGAGUAUGCAUACUCAUUUGGAGGUACCGUAUGAAUAAGGAUCGGCUAACUCCGUG